GUGUACGGCCACACUACCCUGAACAAGCCCGAUGCCGUCUGAUCUCGGAAGCUAAGCAGGGUCAGGCCUGGUUAGUACUUGGACAGGAGACCACCUAGGAAGACCUGGUGCUGUAGGCG
rnacentral:rRNA from 1 species